AAUCAAUUGGUGAUUCAUAGGCACUAUAUUUCCCCCUCAAUCCAUUCGCAAGAGAAGUGUUAUAAUAACAUGUCAGGGAGGUGUGGAUAAGCGGCAUCAUGGAGCCUGGUUUAUAAUGCAGUUUGUUAACAGAUGCUAACGUCCCGAUUAUGCAUUCCAGCAUCAUUUAUACCCAGCUCCAUGGCACGGGCAGGCUCUAUUUAUCCAGAGCAAUUAUCUUCAGACUUUGUCAACCUCAGCCCAGAAGAGCGUCCGGCCCUCCAGGAUGGCUGAGAGCUUUGAAGAGACACCUCAAUGCAGAAGGGAACACAGGACUCACAGAAGACAUGGAUCUCAUCCAAAGGGCCAUCCAUCCCUGAGAGGGCUGAGGGCUCCCAGGAACCAAGACCAUCUGUCCCCUGGUUGUCUCCUCCUACUGCGUCUCCCUUCAACUUGAAAUCUCUUCCCUUUAAGUGAAUUCUGCUGGGCUUUCUUCUGUUCCCAGGUAUCUCAAUAUCACCUGGGGAACCAGAGCUACUCCCCACUUCCUGGGCUCAUAUCCAAACUUACUUGAUCAUAGGAAGCCAUGGAGUUUUGUAGUGAAAUAUAAGGGCUAUGGGGACAAAUCCCUUGCCUUCUAGCACUCAUUGUGUGAUGUUGAAUAAAUAAUUUAACUUC
rnacentral:lncRNA from 1 species